AGAGUGGUUAAAAGGCGGUACAAAUAGCAAUCGGGAAGCCUAGAAGACCCGUAGGCGAGACAGAAUCGUGGAGGAAGCAGAGGGCACGUAUCAGCAUCCACGGAGUUAUGGGAGACUUGUAGCUGAAGGCCUACCAAGAUAAGUAGAGCAUUUGUGUCUCUGGGUUUCUGAGUUAAUGAUGCCAGCAGUCUCUGAACUAGCCAAAUUGUGGUGGAUUUAUUAUUUACAUUACAACUCCAUUUAAAAAUGAAAACAUAUGCCCACAUGUUCAGUGCUUCACAAAUACACGCUGUAGAAUUUUAUAUCCAGUAACAGAUGCAAUUUCCCUAUCAAAUAUAAUUUCUGUUUGUCUUCUGAACUCUGUAUUGUUGUGGAAAUUCCAGUUUAUCAGCUGCACUGGAGCCGAAUGAAGUGAGUAGUCCAAGACAUGAGCAGAUUUCUGCUGUGCACCUAGUAUUCCUUUCCCUUCCUAUUUAAUGCUAAUAUUGCUUUAUGCUAAAGAUGCAUUUUUUAAUGCUAUACAACUUGAUUCGUGGGGAAAAAGCAACACAAAUAAUUAAAGUUCUCUUUUGGGAACGUGAGUGGGCAGAGAGAAGUCAAGCGAGGGAAUCUUUUUGGUGGAACUUGUUUCACUUUCUUCUCCAGCCUGGUUGACAUUAUAGUGCUGAGAACAAUUGGGAGUUACUGAAGGCCCAGUUUAUCUUGCCGAUUUCUGUAGACUAUGUGUGACUUUGUUCCAAGUGACCCGUAAGAGCAAUGGCACCUGACGGAGCAACUGUGUAAAGCUGGGAGCAAGCCCAUUUUCAGGAGCAAUUUAGAGACUUCUUUUGACAUUUUCCCCCUUUUCUUUUUAAAAUUUAUUGCAGUCUGACAACAGCAAGUACCCAAAUCCUGUUAGGAAAUAAUGCAAUUUCUGAGCUUGGGUUCUGCUCUAACAAAGUUACAGGGUAGAUGUCACCAGCGUGGAGGGGAAGUUAAUCGUGGCAGGCUUGGAAAAAGAUUCAGUGCUGAAGUCUGGUUGUUCCCAUUUUCUCUUAAAGUGGUCUGCAAGUCUCCUCUCCCUUUUCUCAUUUUAAUUUGUUGUCUCAGGUUUGCUAGGCUGUGGAUUCUGGACAAGAGAACAGGAUCUGCUAGAAAAGCAAGGGAAAUACGGCUUCCAAGAUGACAGAGAACAGGAGGUUGCGAUGACUACUGUUGAGACCAUUGUCAAGGGAAAGUCCUUUUCUUUUGAAGACCACUUGGAUGCUGACAUUUGCUGGAAGUGCCUAGAUUACUGCGAAGGCUUGGCUGGGUUUAUGGUUGACAAAACAUCUUUUGGUGACAUCAGAAGGGACCUACUGGUGUCCGCGUGGGCAGAAGAGAGUAGUACUACUGCUUUGAGAUAGCCAGUUGAAAGCCAGCACCUGCUUCGGUCCACAGGAAGGCAAACUAGCUCCCAUCACACAGGCUAAUGCUUUGUUCUUAGUUGAAAUCUAUACCAAGACUGCUGAGCAUCCUGGAUUCUCCAACUGGGCUGCCACAGGCAGAUUCUGGCUCAGCAUCUCAAUAUGGCAGAGAUCUUCUUCACUGCACAUGUACCCACUGGGAGGACUCAAACCUGGUAUUUCAGAACUCAGGAGAAAAAUUCACACUUUGCAUUUCUCACUGUCACAUGGAGGAGACUGUGACAAGGCCAGCUCUAGUGGCACAGGAUCAUAUGUACAAAUGGAUAUUCUUGAUAAACUUAUAGAAGUGAUGGCACAGACCCAAAGUUCCAAGCACUCCUCACUCUACCCUCAGAAGAUGCAAAGAUGAGUCCAUGCUCCAACUGAUCGCAUCUGGAUUCUAGAGUGUUCUUGAGUGUGUGAAGCUUCAAAGGAAGGAUGUUAAUGUGCUUCGAGGCAGAGGUCAGGAUGUACCUGAAGAAAGGCCUCAUACCAAAAGGUGGAUGUGAUAAGAGACCCAUUAACCAGUAGCAGAGGUCACGUGGCUUGUGUAAAGAGGAGACAUCUGGACCACGCAUGCCCAUUUUAUCACUGGACACCUUUGCAGAGAUUAUGGGGAUGAUCCAGUAACACUGCUUUUGGGUGAGUAGCCGAUGUCUUCACUGGGAUCAGGCAGUCUCCUCACAAAACACUCCAAGAGCUGACAGUAUCUCAUUAGUGGGUACAGUGUCAUUGCAGUGGAGUGUCCCAUUUGUGGACAGUGGAAGUCAAAGUGAUUUAUAGAGAGCAGUUGUCAAGUCAUGGCUGAGUGAGGAACCUGCAUAGGAAAACCCCUUGAGAAGCCUCUCCACAAAGCCAGCCGGUGGGUGACAGUGGCUGGCUCCUUGAUUAGAGGCCAUACAGAGUUGUUUCUGAAUCUAGACUUUGGGUCAUUGGGGGCAGGAGGUAGUUCCUUAUUCAUCGUUCUGUUUUGUUCGAGUUGAGAAACGUGUGUAAGUACACUUUAGACUCAACGAGGAACGUGGGCUUCUUUCACUUCCAGUGCCUGUAGAACCUUCGUCAGCAGCACGCUUGUGGGGAACAGGAAGAGUAGGGCUUUCUUUCUUUCAUACUUUAGCCAAUAAUGUUAGAUUUCUAGUUAUUUUAAAGAACGUCUUUUGUAUGCUUGUGAUAGAAUCAAUAAAGUUUUAAAAUUUAAA
rnacentral:lncRNA from 1 species